AUUGAACGCUGGCGGCAGGCCUAACACAUGCAAGUCGAGCGGCAGCGGGAAAGUAGCUUGCUACUUUUGCCGGCGAGCGGCGGACGGGUGAGUAAUGCCUGGGGAUCUGCCCAGUCGAGGGGGAUAACUACUGGAAACGGUAGCUAAUACCGCAUACGCCCUACGGGGGAAAGCAGGGGACCUUCGGGCCUUGCGCGAUUGGAUGAACCCAGGUGGGAUUAGCUAGUUGGUGAGGUAAUGGCUCACCAAGGCGACGAUCCCUAGCUGGUCUGAGAGGAUGAUCAGCCACACUGGAACUGAGACACGGUCCAGACUCCUAAGGGAGGCAGCAGUGGGGAAUAUUGCACAAUGGGGGAAACCCUGAUGCAUCCAUGCCGCGUGUGUGAAGAAGGCCUUCGGGUUGUAAAGCACUUUCAGCGAGGAGGAAAGGUUGGUAGCUAAUAACUGCCAGCUGUGACGUUACUCGCAGAAGAAGCACCGGCUAACUCCGUGCCAGCCGCCGCGGUAACAC
rnacentral:rRNA from 1 species